rnacentral:rRNA from 1 species
CUUGGUCAUUUAGAGGAAGUAAAAGUCGUAACAAGGUUUUCCUCCAGUUAAAGCUAUUAACUUAUUGAAGCCUGACGUGGGCGACUAUAAAUUAACCAUGAAGUUCGGUCUUUAACAGACUGGACAACACCGCUGAAAUGCGUGAUCAACUAUUGUUGUACCAGCAGCCCUCUUAUAGGGCCCACAGAUCAGCCGCGGUGAUCCUACCUAGAGUAUUUAAGUAGGACUAUAAUAUGACCGUCUCACCUGAGAUGGUUGAGAGAACACGUUCCGUAGGUGAACCUGCGGAGGAUCAUUACCGAGUUAGGGUCUUAUAGGCCCGACCUCCAACCCUUUGUUACUACACCAUGUUGCUUUGGCGGGCCCGCCUUUUGGGGCCGCCGGGGUUUACAAGCCCCUGGUCAGUGUCCGCCAGUAGCCUUAUUAAAUUCUUUUUAAUUAUGUUGUCUGAGUAUAAAUAUAAAUCGUUAAAACUUUCAACAACGAUCUCUUGGUUCUGGCAUCGAUGAAGAACGCAGCGAAAUGCGAUAAGUAUGCGAAUUGCAGAAUUCAGUGAGUCAUCGAAUCUUUGAACGCAUAUUGGCCCUUUGGUAUUCCGAAGGGCAUGCCUGUUCGAGCGUCAUUAUCAACCUCAAGCCUGGCUUGUCGUUGGACCCUUUUUACCGCUGAAAUAUGUGGUAGUCCGAAAGAUAAUGACGGCGUCGUGUUUGACCCUAGAUGCAACGAGCUUUUAUAGCACGCAUUGAAGUGGUCGGCCGACCCGGUCUUUAACCAUCAUUUCUAAGGUUGACCUCGGAUCAGGUAGGAAUACCCGCUGAACUUAAGCAAUCAAUAAGCGGAGGA